rnacentral:misc_RNA from 1 species
AACGCACCUUGCGCCCUUUGGCUAUUCCGAAGGGCAUGCCUGUUUGAGUAUCAUGAACACCUCAACUCUCAUGGCUUGCCAUGAUGAGCUUGGACUUUGGGGGUCUUGCUGGCCUACGGUCGGCUCCUCUCAAACGAAUCAGCUUGCCAGUGUUUGGUGGCGUCACAGGUGUGAUAACUAUCUACGCUUGUGGUUCUCCACCAGGUAACCUUCAGUGAUGGAGGUUCGCCGGAGCUCAUAAACGUCUCUCCUCUGCGAGGACAACUUCUUGAACGUUUGAUCUCAAAUCAGGUAGGACUACCCGCUGAACUUAA